ensembl:rRNA predicted gene, 27648
ACUGUCCUGGCCGCGCCUGCUUGCACCUCAUUACUGAGGAGCUAAGUAGGCUCAGGCCUGGCUGGUACUUGGAUGAGAGAAACUGAGAAGAUUAACACUUGCUUGUG